rnacentral:ncRNA from 2 species
ACACGGUCCGAGGGGUGCUCCAGGGAGCUGAGAUGGCGCUUGCGCCGAACCCUUAGAACCUGAUCCGGGUCAUGCCGGCGAAGGGACGGAAGCCUUUAGCCUU